CCUACGUGAGGCUGCAGUGAGGAAUAUUGGUCAAUGGGCGCGAGCCUGAACCCGCCAAGUAGCGUGAAGGAUGACUGCCCUACGGGUUGUAAACUUCUUUUAUAAAGGAAUAAAGUGCGGCACGUGUGCCUUUUUGUAUGUACUUUAUGAAUAAGGAUCGGCUAACUCCGUGCCAGCAGCCGCGGUAAUACGGAGGAUCCGAGCGUUAUCCGGAUUUAUUGGGGUUAAAGGGAGCGUAGAUGGGUUGUUAAGUCAGUUGUGAAAGUUUGCGGCUCAACCGUAAAAUUGCACUUGAUACUGGCAGUCUUGAGUACAGUAGAGGUAGGCGGAAUUCGUGGUGUAGCGGUGAAAUGCUUAGAUAUCACGAAGAACUCCGAUUGCGAAGGCAGCUUACUAAACUGCCACUGACAUUGAUGCUCGAAAGUGUGGGUAUCAAACAGGAUUAGAUACCCCUGUAGUC
rnacentral:rRNA from 1 species